rnacentral:rRNA from 1 species
UCCAGAGUUUGAUCCUGGCUCAGAUUGAACGCUGGCGGCAGGCCUAACACAUGCAAGUCGAACGGUAACAGGAAGAAGCUUGCUUCUUUGCUGACGAGUGGCGGACGGGUGAGUAAUGUCUGGGAAACUGCCUGAUGGAGGGGGAUAACUACUGGAAACGGUAGCUAAUACCGCAUAACGUCGCAAGACCAAAGAGGGGGACCUUCGGGCCUCUUGCCAUCGGAUGUGCCCAGAUGGGAUUAGCUUGUUGGUGGGGUAACGGCUCACCAAGGCGACGAUCCCUAGCUGGUCUGAGAGGAUGACCAGCCACACUGGAACUGAGACACGGUCCAGACUCCUACGGGAGGCAGCAGUGGGGAAUAUUGCACAAUGGGCGCAAGCCUGAUGCAGCCAUGCCGCGUGUAUGAAGAAGGCCUUCGGGUUGUAAAGUACUUUCAGCGGGGAGGAAGGGAGUAAAGUUAAUACCUUUGCUCAUUGACGUUACCCGCAGAAGAAGCACCGGCUAACUCCGUGCCAGCAGCCGCGGUAAUACGGAGGGUGCAAGCGUUAAUCGGAAUUACUGGGCGUAAAGCGCACGCAGGCGGUUUGUUAAGUCAGAUGUGAAAUCCCCGGGCUCAACCUGGGAACUGCAUCUGAUACUGGCAAGCUUGAGUCUCGUAGAGGGGGGUAGAACUCCAGGUGUAGCGGUGAAAUGCGUAGAGAUCUGGAGGAAUACCGGUGGCGAAGGCGGCCCCCUGGACGAAGACUGACGCUCAGGUGCGAAAGCGUGGGGAGCAAACAGGAUUAGAUACCCUGGUAGUCCACGCCGUAAACGAUGUCGACUUGGAGGUUGUGCCCUUGAGGCGUGGCUUCCGGAGCUAACGCGUUAAGUCGACCGCCUGGGGAGUACGGCCGCAAGGUUAAAACUCAAAUGAAUUGACGGGGGCCCGCACAAGCGGUGGAGCAUGUGGUUUAAUUCGAUGCAACGCGAAGAACCUUACCUGGUCUUGACAUCCACGGAAGUUUUCAGAGGUGAGAAUGUGCCUUCGGGAACCGUGAGACAGGUGCUGCAUGGCUGUCGUCAGCUCGUGUUGUGAAAUGUUGGGUUAAGUCCCGCAACGAGCGCAACCCUUAUCCUUUGUUGCCAGCGGUCCGGCCGGGAACUCAAAGGAGACUGCCAGUGAUAAACUGGAGGAAGGUGGGGAUGACGUCAAGUCAUCAUGGCCCUUACGACCAGGGCUACACACGUGCUACAAUGGCGCAUACAAAGAGAAGCGACCUCGCGAGAGCAAGCGGACCUCAUAAAGUGCGUCGUAGUCCGGAUUGGAGUCUGCAACUCGACUCCAUGAAGUCGGAAUCGCUAGUAAUCGUGGAUCAGAAUGCCACGGUGAAUACGUUCCCGGGCCUUGUACACACCGCCCGUCACACCAUGGGAGUGGGUUGCAAAAGAAGUAGGUAGCUUAACCUUCGGGAGGGCGCUUACCACUUUGUGAUUCAUGACUGGGGUGAAGUCGUAACAAGGUAACCGUA